rnacentral:rRNA from 1 species
UACGUAGGUGGCAAGCGUUAUCCGGAAUUAUUGGGCGUAAAGAGCGCGCAGGUGGUUGAUUAAGUCUGAUGUGAAAGCCCACGGCUUAACCGUGGAGGGUCAUUGGAAACUGGUCGACUUGAGUGCAGAAGAGGGAAGUGGAAUUCCAUGUGUAGCGGUGAAAUGCGUUGAGAUAUGGAGGAACACCAGUGGCGAAGGCGGCUUCCUGGUCUGUAACUGACACUGAGGCGCGAAAGCGUGGGGAGCAAACAGGAUUAGAUA